rnacentral:tRNA from 1 species
GAGGGUGUAGCUCAGUGGUAGAGUACAUGCUUAGCAUGCACGAGGUCCUGGGUUCAGUCCCCAGUACCUCCG